AUCUGUCUAAGGAAAUAGGUACAAUCCCCAAAGAUUCUCUGCUCCUAUGCGGACCCUCUAACUUUGUUCUGUGUUGAGGAACGUGGACUCAUCGACCAACUGGGAUCGGUUCCAACACAUAGAGGGAGAUUGUGAAUGGUUUAGCGAUACGUAAAAUAUUGAAUCAUGGCAUCAAUCAAGGGAAGUCAAGUUGCAGAAGUUGGACAAUUGAGCCCAUUUCCGUGUUGACUAAACGGACGGUGGAAGAAGAUUAGAAUUCAACAUCCUAGCACUAAUGCCUUACCCCACUUUACUUACGGGUUUUUUCUUUUUUUUGGUAAAUAUCAUUUUUGCUUUUGGUAGUGAGUUUAAAUCCCAAAUGGGAGGUCAUAAAGCUUUGGUUCGAGACGUUGAGCUUUGGUUAAUCCAAAUUAGUUAAUAGUGACUGGAUGUGUAUUUUGAGAAAGUAAUAUAUAUGCGAACUGGCUGGCGAAUUAUGUA